GGACGCGGACCGCGGACUGCGGACAGGAGAAACUGCGGACUUUCACCUGCGGACUGGCCCAAAUUUUUUGACAGCAGUCCGCAGUUUCUCCACAGGGUAGCUGUCCGCAGUCCGCGUAUUAUACGGGGAUACAGCAUUCCAUAUAGACAUGUCUAUGCGUUGGUAAGGCAGAAAAUUGGACAAGACAGAUCAACCUUAUUUUUGUCAUGCAUUGGCUGUUGUUCGAUAACUGUUGCUUUUUAAAAAUAUGUAUGCAUGCAACAAUUCCAAUGAAUUAAAAUAAAAAUGCGCACAGCUCUUA